ACGAACGCUGGCGGCGUGCCUAAUACAUGCAAGUAGAACGCUGAAGGAGGAGCUUGCUUCUCUGGAUGAGUUGCGAACGGGUGAGUAACGCGUAGGUAACCUGCCUGGUAGCGGGGGAUAACUAUUGGAAACGAUAGCUAAUACCGCAUAAUAGCAGUUGUUGCAUGACAACUGUUUGAAAGGUGCAAUUGCACCACUACCAGAUGGACCUGCGUUGUAUUAGCUAGUUGGUGGGGUAACGGCUCACCAAGGCGACGAUACAUAGCCGACCUGAGAGGGUGAUCGGCCACACUGGGACUGAGACACGGCCCAGACUCCUACGGGAGGCAGCAGUAGGGAAUCUUCGGCAAUGGACGGAAGUCUGACCGAGCAACGCCGCGGGAGUGAAGAAGGGUUUCGGAUCGUAAAGCUCUGUUGUAAGAGAAGAACGAGUGUGAGAGUGGAAAGUUCACACUGUGACGGUAGCUGACCAGAAAGGGACGGCUAACUACGUG
rnacentral:rRNA from 1 species